GUAGUAGAAAAUAUUAUUGGUUUAGCAGUUAUUUUUUAAUUAUUUUAUUAUAUCAUUAAUUUUUAGGUGGAAUUUAUAAUUUUUGUUUAUUUAUUUAUUUUUAAAAGAAGCUGUGAAAUUUAUAAUAAAAACGAGGAUUAGAUACCCUUUUAUUUUAAAUGUAAAUAUAAACCUGGGUAGUAAUAGUUAUGUUCUUGAAACUCAAAGGAUUUGGCGGUAUUUUAGCCUCUUUAGAGGAACCUGUCCCUUAAUCGAUAGUCCACGAUUUGAUUUACUUAUUUUUGUUUUCAGUUUGUAUACCUCCGUCAUAAGAAUAUCUUUUUAGAGUAAAUUUUCUUUUUAUUAUAAAUAUAAUAUGUCAGGUCAAGGUGCAGUUUAUGGAUAAGUGGAGGUGGGUUACAAUAAAAUUAUUUAUACGGAUUAGGAUUUUUAAAUUGUUUUAUGAAGGUGGAUUUAAUGGUAAUUUUAAUUUUUUAUUAAAUUGACCAGAGCUCUAAAAUAUGCCACAUCGCCCGUCGCUCUCAUUAUUAAAAUGAGAUAAGUCGUAACAUAGUAGGUGUAUCGGAAGAUGUACCUAGUUGG
rnacentral:rRNA from 1 species